rnacentral:lncRNA from 1 species
AAAAUGUGUCACUAACAUCUUUUGUUUGAAGCUUGAGUAUCAUCCAAGACACUUUGUGGGUUCUAUUUAGAUGAUCAGUCAACACAAGGGAAUGGCUUGAGAUACUUCCAACAGGUUCAAAUGGGGUCUAUUCGUCAGUCAAAACGUUAAUCUUGAAGGAGCAAAAGUUUGUUCAAGAGUUGUCAUGCUCGCUAGGCGAGUAGAAUGGGUCGCCUAGCGAGUCCCAAGAAAAGCCACCAGAAUCACCUACGCUCAGAGGAAUUUCUUGAACUGUCAUGCUCGCUAGGCGAAGCCCACGUGUAAAAA